rnacentral:lncRNA from 1 species
GGCAUCUGUGGAGCCACUAAGCUGACACUCUUUCACUUGAUCACUUACUGAAAUGCUUCCUAACAUGGUGGUUCUUGGUGUCAUGUGAUGUUUACAAAAGGGAAGCUAAUGAGAUGGGUUGGUAAUAAAGAAGGAGUUCACAUCUUGGUAAUUCUACUCAUUUGUCUUUCUUCUCAAAACAUUUCCCAUUACCACUAACAAGGGCAUCUGUUCCUUUCAUCAUGCACUUUAAGUAUUCUGGUGGCCAACUGCCUGGACCUGAUAGAAGUAAAUAUCUGCCCUUCCCAUAAAGACCCACAGAAGCCAUCAGGGAACCUACUAAGGUUAAAUAACCUGAAUAUUGUCAAUAAUAAACUCAUUUUAGGAGAAUAAAUAAAGCAUGAAAUUCCCACACAUCUUUAACAAAAAAAAAAUUAAAGAAAAGUCUAAUUACAACUACUUCAUUCCAAAAUGUUACAUUCCUUAAUGUUACAUUAAGGCCUCAGUCUUUUCUGUGUAAUAUUCUUAUGGUCAUAUAAUGUUAGGUGUCUUCAGAGGUCAGAUUUGGCAAACACUCUUCUUACACAAAAUUAUUGGGGAAGAUUGCAAAGCUGGCUAUGUGAAAAUUCACUUUGAGGCUUUAUAAGCCUUAAACAGAAAUGAAAGCAUGUGUAGUUUGGGCAUGUGGCAGCUUUGGGCAUCGUACUGACUAGUUUUCUAUGAACUGACAUAGUGUCAUCAGAGAGGAAGGAACCUCAGUUGAGAAAAUACCCCCUUAAGAUCUUGCUGUGUCAGCUCCUUCCUCCAGGUUACUGCUCUGUUUGAUUUCCUUUCCUGACUUCUUUCAGUGAUGAACAAUGAUAUGGAAGCCUCAGCAAAAUACACCUUUCCCUCCUGAGUUGUUUUGGUCAUAGUGUUUUUAUCAUAGCAUUAGUAACCCUAAGACAGGGUUACAAAACAUAUACCAACAGAUUGCAAAAUGGAAAUAAACAAUGGAGAAAUAAAAGGGAGAAGGGCUAGGGAACCUGAGGAAUACUUGAUACAAGCUCUCAUCCCUUGCAUAUAUGUCACAAAUUGUAUUUCAUGAACAAGAAUUUAAAAGUUGUUUCUUCCUUCUCUGAAAAUGUCUUCUAAGCCAUAACAUCUCAAACAGUGGGCUCCAACCUACAUGGGGUUGGGUAAAUAAAUAUGGGAAGUAUAAAAUAAUUGGCAACAGAGGAGGUUUCUGACCAUAUAACAGCCAAAACUUAAUUCAAAAUAAAAUGAAAACAAUGAAUCCAAGGUGUUUCUGGCAGCCUAGUCCCAUACUGUACUACAUAACUUCAAGGCAGCCUGGUUCUGACAUUUUGCCAUCACAGAAUGCAACUCCAACCAAUACUGCCUGACACACUGUCUUACCUAUUUUUCUGUGACAGAGAUCCAACACCACAACCAAGGCAACUUAAAAAAGAAAGCAUUUAGUUGGUUUAUAGUUAGAGGGUUAGAGUUCAUUAUAUCUUAGUGAAGGAACUGCAGAUAUCCCACAGUUUGAUCCACAACCACGAGGCAGAGAUAGAGAGCCUAAGUCUCUUGAAGCAGCAAAGCUAUCCACCCAUGACACAUUUCCUCCAGCAAGACCACAUCCCCUAAUCCUUCCCAAACAGUUCUACCAACUAAAGACCAAUGUGGGAGCCAAUUUCAUUCAAACCACCACACAUAUCAGUCAAAAUUCAAGUCCAGUGCAUGUUAUAAAUUACAGUGUUUUAUUAUACAGUUUUCUUCUCAUACAGAAAUAUAAUGGUUUCAUGGUGGAAAACUAAGACUUAAUAUUUUCUUACCAGAAUUCCUCAGCAUGUAUCAAAUUAGUAUACAAUUAGAUAGCAUUGUAUUAUAAUGUUUGACUUUAAAAAUGGCUGUUUGAGCCGAUGACUUGAGUUUCAGAAAAUAUCAUUGAAUUAAUUUUGGUUGUAUCAGAAUUUACAAUGAUUUUUUUGUGUUUAUGCAAAGAGGCCAAUUAUAAAAUAAAACUAUCCAGCAAAUCUGAGAAGUAUUUAAAAUGUUUAAUGAAAUAUUUAGCCAAGAUUUGAUACUUUAACCAGAAACACAUAUAUCUAUCUACCUGGGGAUGAAAAUAUCUCAGUGUGAAUUUGCCCUUCAUCUUUACUAAAUGCUAAAAUUGUAGGUGUGCCAAAAAACUAUCUUAAAAUAAAUGUCUUUAUGUUUUAUUAUCAUUAAUAUUUGUUUUGUAUUUUAUAGACCUUGAUACUCAGACUCAUGUAAAAAAAAAAACAUGAAUACAAAAUGCUUAUGAGUUGAAAAUGUUAAGAGUCCCAUAGCAUACCAGCCAACCCCAACUACGCAUGUCACCUCAUUAUAAUCCCUCUGGGUCCCUUUACUUACUGUCUGUGACUUGUGAAAGGUAAUAUAAAGCUCAAGGAACUGAGUGUAUGCAAAAGAUGAACUGAGCUGCUCCAAACCCUUGGGGUGCAUUCAGCUAGGCAGCUUUUUUGUCUAAGAAAUCAGGAUUCAGUAGCAACAGAAGAAAUACGUAAGAGACAAACAAGCACCUAAUAAAGAGAAAAAUGGAUGACUAAGGAAGGUUUCUGUUCUGGUUUGGUUUAGCUAUAGGAUAGAAACUUCAACAAUGUCCAUUCCACUUACUGUUUACUGAAAGCUAGAGAUGCCAGAAAGUGACUGUGAAGUGCCACCUUUAAUACAUCCAUCAAUAUGCAGACAUGUACAUUGUUUCAAAAGUAUUCUCUUUUCCAGUUUUCUCUCUGUCAAAAUAUUGGCAUAGUAUUGAAUAUCAAUUGUCCCUUAAGUUUGUGUGCUGUUUAUUUCUGCAAUGUCUUUUUGUAGUGUGUAUCUGAAUAUACAGUAGACCCUCAGCAAGUGAUGACUGAAUGAACCAUUAUCAAGCCUCAGUUUUGAAUAGUGAAAUAGCAUCAAUCUUCUCUGCUUGUUUUUUUUUUACUAUAUUCUAAUAUAUAACUAGGAAACAGAAAUUUAGUCCUCUACCUAGAGUACCUUUUAAGGCAUUCAUAAUCAUGGGUAAAGGAAGCAAGUUGCUAUUUCAUUUCUGCCAAGCUUAUCCAUAAAAACUCUCAUGAUGACCUAUUUUUUUUAUUUUCUAAACUAUUAUAUAGCUUCUUCCUAAGCAUAUUAAUACUCUUGACACAGCCAUGGGCAUAUAUAUAUAUAAAGUUUAGAUGGUAAACAGGGUUUGAUGAUUUGAUAAAUCAAAAUCUGAGAUGAAACAAUAAAAGCUAAAAUGCAUUUUCAAAAUCAGGCUCAAAACAAAUAAAUAUUCUCUGCCAAAACCUCUCUGAGAUUUGUCUAACUUGUUCAGAGCAGAGUCAGCAAAUCUCCAAGUCAAACCCAAUUGUGGUCCACAGUCAACAUAUCAAAGCCCCAUAAAUUGUGCUGUGCAAGACCUUGAAAAGCUAUUGGAGAAAAGAUUUAUUCAAGAUAGUGUUUGCUUCACAGAUCUCUUCUAUAUAACUUGUACAUCUAAAAUAGAUUUUAAAGUCAAAUAUAGUUGAAAUGAAAGGAGAACUAACUACUUUAUGAGCAAUAAACACUUGUCAAAUGGAAGUCAAAUGAUUUGAUAAAGAAAUAAUCUGUGCUUUAUUUAUUGAUGGAAGUUCUAUUGUCUUAAGAAUACAAUGUGUAUUUUCCUUUCUAAGCAAUCUACUCAACCAUACAAUUUUCCUUCAAAACUCAUUUUUAAACCUGAUUCAGUUUUAUACUUCAGAAAUUUCUAAAAUGGACUAGAAAUGGUAAAUGAAAUAUUGGGUUUGAUCUUCAGAAAAAGGUGAAAGGAAAG